UUUGCAUUCAGUGGUUUUGAAAAAGCAGUCAAUUAAUUAUAUGCUAUUUUGCAUCUUUUUAAGCAAUGAAGAUUAAAAAUUGAAGCAAAUAAAACCUUAAUCAUAAGAAAAAUACUUCAACAAUUACUUUCAAGGCAUAUAAAAUAAAUAGAGAAAAAAAACAAAUGAUUAAGAUCUAUACAAAAUCACUGAAAAGCUGUGGCAUCUUGCAUUACCACAUAAUUUUUCAUUAAAAAGAAAUUUUCGACCUACAGAUUCUAGUGUAAAUGAAUUGACUAGAAAGGGAAUCUCUCAUAGGUAAACUAACACCAAUGUAGUUAAAAAAAUUAAUCAGGAGAAGAAGAGGGAGGUAGAAGAAAAAUGAAGAUAGAGAGGUUUAUAUUGAACUGCUUCAAAAUGUUGAAUAUCUUUGACCAAUUGCUUCAACACCAUAAAAAGAUGAAGAGAAAAAGCUUAC
rnacentral:misc_RNA from 1 species